GACGAACGCUGGCGGCGUGCUUAACACAUGCAAGUCGAACGGUGAAGCGCCUUCCUUUUUGGUGGGUGUGGAUGAGUGGCGAACGGGUGAGUAACACGUGAGUAACCUGCCCCCUUCUUCUGGAUAACCGCAUGAAAGAGUGGCUAAUACGGGACAUUCUGGGUCUGUCGCAUGAUGGGUCUGGGAAAGAUCUUGUUUCGGUGGGGGAUGGGCUCGCGGCCUAUCAGCUUGUUGGUGGGGUGAUGGCCUACGAGGGCGGUGACGGGUAGCCGUCCUGAGCGGGUGGGCGGACAUGCUAAGAGUCAGACGCGAUCCGGACUGCGACAGGAGGCAGAAGAGAGGAAUAUUGCACAAUGGGCACGAGCCUGAUGCAGCGACACCACAAGUGGGGUGGAGGCCUUCGGCUUGUAAGCCUCUUUCGCCGGUGGAGCAGAGCUGCCUCGUUUGUCGGUGGAUUGACGGUAGCUGGAUAAGAAGCGCCGGCUAACUACGUG
rnacentral:rRNA from 1 species